rnacentral:lncRNA from 1 species
AGAUCCUAUUACAUGAUUAUUAUAUAGCAUUAAAUCAAAAAUUAAAAUAUAUAAAUAUAGUAUGAACUACAUGUUGAUCAUAUCAACAUGUUUCUAUACUACAUCUAAUGUAUGUAUUAAACAAUAGAUCAGAUCUAUUACCUUGCAAGUUAGAUGUUCUAACCUCGCUGAUCCGGGCUUAAGGAUGAUGUUGCAAGCCGCACACCCAUCCGACCUCUAGGAGUCGUCCACACGACCCCACGAAUCUCGAUCAGAAGUCCUGCUUCAGGAAAUCAGCACAGUAUGCUAGUACUGCGCUGAUCCUUCUUUCUUUGAUGGUUGAUCAGGUGCCUCCUUCUUCUUGAUUUGGACUCUUUCAAAGAUGGAAAGAAGAAGGAGGAGUUUUAGAUCUGUGAUGCUCUCAGAAAACUCAAGAUGGAGGGAGGAA